GGGGGAUUAGCUCAGCUGGCUAGAGCGCCUGCCUUGCACGCAGGAGGUCAUCGUUCGACUCCGAUAUUCUCCACUA
rnacentral:tRNA from 1 species